rnacentral:rRNA from 1 species
UACAGAGGUGGCAAGCGUUGUUCGGAAUUACUGGGCGUAAAGGGCGCGUAGGCGGUUCGUUAAGUCCUGUGUGAAAUCCCCCGGCUCAACUGGGGAACUGCACAGGAAACUAGCGGGCUUGAGUUCGGGAGAGGGAAGCGGAAUUCCGGUUGUAGCGGUGAAAUGCGUAGAUAUCCGGAGGAACACCGGUGGCGAAGGCGGCUUCCUGGACCGACACUGACGCUGAGGCGCGAAAGCUAGGGGAGCAAACGGG